GAUGAACGCUGGCGGCGUGCCUAACACAUGCAAGUCGAACGGAGCUGCUUUGAUGAAGUUUUCGGAUGGAUUUAAAACAGCUUAGUGGCGGACGGGUGAGUAACGCGUGGGUAACCUGCCUCACACUGGGGGAUAACAGUUAGAAAUAGCUGCUAAUACCGCAUAAGCGCACAGUUCCGCAUGGAACAGUGUGAAAAACUCCGGUGGUAUAAGAUGGACCCGCGUUGGAUUAGCUUGUUGGUGGGUAACGGCCCACCAAGGCGACGAUCCAUAGCCGGCCUGAGAGGGUGAACGGCCACAUUGGGACUGAGACACGGCCCAGACUCCUACGGAGGCAGCAGUGGGGAAUAUUGCACAAUGGGGGAAACCCUGAUGCAGCGACGCCGCGUGAAGGAAGAAGUAUCUCGGUAUGUAAAACUUCUAUCAGCAGGGAAGAUAGUGACGGUACCUGACUAAGAAGCCCCGGCUAACUACGUG
rnacentral:rRNA from 1 species